rnacentral:rRNA from 1 species
AGUGAACGCUGGCGGUAGGCCUAACACAUGCAAGUCGAACGGCAGCACAGUAAGAGCUUGCUCUUACGGGUGGCGAGUGGCGGACGGGUGAGGAAUACAUCGGAAUCUACUUUUUCGUGGGGGAUAACGUAGGGAAACUUACGCUAAUACCGCAUACGACCUACGGGUGAAAGCAGGGGAUCUUCGGACCUUGCGCGAUUGAAUGAGCCGAUGUCGGAUUAGCUAGUUGGCGGGGUAAAGGCCCACCAAGGCGACGAUCCGUAGCUGGUCUGAGAGGAGGAUCGGCGACACGGGAAGUGAGACACGGUCCAGACUCCUACGGGAGGCAGCAGUGGGGAAUAUUGGACAAUGGGCGCAAGCCUGAUCCAGCCAUACCGCGUGGGUGAAGAAGGCCUUCGGGUUGUAAAGCCCUUUUGUUGGGAAAGAAAAGCAGCAGGUUAAUACCCCGCUGUUCUGACGGUACCCAAAGAAUAAGCACCGGCUAACUUCGUG